UAGCGUGAGCAAUCUGCCUUUAAGAGGGGGAUAACAGUCGGAAACGGCUGCUAAUACCGCAUAAAGCAUCAAAUUCGCAUGUUUUUGAUGCCAAAGGAGCAAUCCGCUUUUAGAUGAGCUCGCGUCUGAUUAGCUGGUUGGCGGGGUAACGGCCCACCAAGGCGACGAUCAGUAGCCGGACUGAGAGGUUGAACGGCCACAUUGGGACUGAGACACGGCCCAG
rnacentral:rRNA from 1 species